AUCCCUGUGGCUCAGUUGGUAGAGCAUGGUGUUUGCAACGCCAGCAUGGUGUGCCAGGGUUGUGGGUUCGAUUCCCACGGGGGGGG
rnacentral:tRNA from 1 species